rnacentral:lncRNA from 1 species
GAAAAGUCUCCUUACGUCUACAAGUCUCCUCCACCACCAUCUCCAUCACCACCCCCUCCUUAUGUCUACAAGUCUCCACCUCCUCCAACAUAUGUUGAAAAGUCUCCUUACGUCUACAAGUCUCCUCCACCACCAUCUCCAUCACCACCUCCUCCUUAUGUCUAUAAGUCUCCACCUCCCCCAGCAUAUGUUGAAAAGUCUCCUUACGUCUACAAGUCUCCUCCAUCACCACCUCCUUCUUAUGUCUACAAGUCUCCACCUCCUCCAGCAUAUGUUGAAAAGUCUCCUUAUGUCUACAAGUCUCCUCCACCACCAUCUCCAUCACCACCCCCUCCUUAUGUCUACAAGUCUCCACCUCCUCCAGCAUAUGUUGAAAAGUC